CAAGUGUACCUGCUGCUGUGAGUUGACUUCAUGGACACCUCUGUGGAAAGCAGACUUGCUAAGUCACCAUUGGACUACCACGGUGGACUGAGUCUUUGAAAAGCCAAGUCAUCAUUCCAGUCUUCAGGACAGAUGAAAAAUCUCUAUACUUUUCCACCGUAGAAUCUAGGUAUAUGAUUAGGAACCUGGAUAUUCUGACUUCUGGGUCCCUUCCAGACUUCCUGAGUCUGAAUUUCUGAGUAACCAUAAGAAUAAAUCACUAAAAAGGGGGAUAUGGUGACUGAUGGAGCUAAGGCAAUCUUGUCUGUGGCCUUUCUCCAUCUCUGCCAGGGCGGGCAUCCUCAUGACUGCAACAGCCCUACCAAACCUCUGUCAUCCUCCAAGCUAGACCUGAGAUAUCCCAUCGGUGUGCCACCCCCCGCCCCUACCCUGGGGCUUGUUGUCGCCAUUCGUAAGAAGCUGGUAUGGAUUGGAAAGAAGUGAUAUAGCUCUCUCUGGGCACAUAAGGAGUCUGCUGUGAAAAUUAAUUCAGACAAAAUAAUGGAGUUCUCCUAGAAAGCCUCAGUCUGCAGUGAAAAAGCAAAUUUCAUAAAGGAAGUUUCUGCAAUGAACACACCUCUCAAGCUCGCUCUCUCAUUUGUCCUGGAUGUGUCAGCUUGUCAUAAAGCCU
rnacentral:lncRNA from 12 species